rnacentral:lncRNA from 1 species
GUUUAUCUGAGUUCAAAGUACAGAGGAGUCACAUGGCCCUUACCCGGCCAGAGCCUUGAAGUUCUUGUGCAGUCGUAGGAUUUUAAAAACAAGGAGCAAGGGAAGCGAGGGAAGAAAGAACUGUGCAAAACUGCUAAGGAACGCUUCCACACAGACCGUGUGAAGCCAUACAGCCAGCAGCCUGCACUGAGUUAGCACGUGCUCAGCUGGCUGUACUGCAGAGCACUGCACUCAGCCCCACAGCACAGCCCGGGCACCCUGUGUUCUGCACCACACCGGAAAGCUUAGCAAGGGUUUAGCUGCUGAGUUUGGAACGGUUCCUACUUGGCUUCGUGAAAAAUUCAGACCUCUGCAAACUGUUCCCACCUGUCUUGUCCUGCCUCAAAGCACCUUAAAUUAUCCUCUCACUUUCGGAGAUUUUUCCGCAGUUCCAGAGCUUUGUUUUGUUUCCGUUUCUCUCUCUUUAUAUCAGAAAUAAGUAUUUUUUUUUCCCUUGUCCCUCUGUUCGGAGGUCACAUCUCAAACCUUCCAUCCGUGGAGAUGAUGCUUCUGAUAGCAAACAACGUGCUGCAUGUCAGCUGGCCUUCCACGUCUGUCACGCUGGCACACAGAUCAGGCCAGGGGAUGUGCAGAGUCUCAAGUCUCCAUUUAAUAGUCUGCUGAUUUUCCAGGAGUUAGGAGGAACUCGGCACGUUAGUGACCUCUGCUCCUUUCUCAGCUGGUUUCUGUGGGUUCACGUUGAACAACGUCCUUAAACCACAUCCAGGGACAGUCAUAGAAUAUCUCAUGUUGGAAAGGGCCCACAAGGAUCACCGGGUCAGAGAACACUGAAGUGUCCAAGGUAAUCCUGCCUUGUUUGUGUGGCUUGCACUCUCACUUUCUUCCUGCACAUCGCUGAUAGUCUCAUCGCUUUUUCCCUUCUGCCUUGGCUUCAUCUGCAGCAGCGCAAACGAUCUGGUGCUCUAAAUCACCACUACCUCAGGAAAACUCACAAUUUUGACUGGUUUUUGUACAGUUCUAGCUCAUGACAGUGUUGUUACUGAUUUUCUGUUGUAAAGAGGAAACAGUUCAUUUCAUAACAGUAAGGAAGCUGAGCUUGCUUCCUCUUUUUGCCAGCACAGGUGAGAGGAAGGAUGGCAUCCAUGCUGAUGAGAUUUGCGUGGAUGUAAGAGGUGCCUGAUCCUGCAGUGUGAAGCUUGAUGUUACACAUUUGUCAUCUGCCUCCUGCUUCUCUGGGUGUCCAGUUCUCCCUGUCCUGUAUGAUUUUGUCUUCCUGGCAACACCACGCUCCUCUUAACCUCUCCAAGGCUUUUGGAGUACUUUAACUUUCAAAGAAACCUAGCUGUUUUCUGAAGAAUGCUGAUCCACGGUAUCCUGCUGUCAUCAUCUUCUGACUUUAUCUUUCA